rnacentral:rRNA from 1 species
UACGGGGGGAGCAAGCGUUGUUCGGAUUUACUGGGCGUAAAGGGUGUGUAGGCGGUUGUUUAAGUUUGGUGUGAAAUCUCCCGGCUCAACCGGGAGGGUGCGCCGAAUACUGAAUAACUAGAGUGCGGGAGAGGAAAGUGGAAUUCCUGGUGUAGCGGUGAAAUGCGUAGAUAUCAGGAGGAACACCGGUGGUGUAGACGGCUUUCUGGACCGUAACUGACGCUGAGACACGAAAGCGUGGGUAGCAAACAGG